CAGGCCCGGGCUUUGUCCACAAGGCCAUGCCGCUUCCCUCGGAGGCCCAGUCCAUGGGUUGUCCCUGCGACCCCCAGGUCGGGAGCAGAGAGGCGAAACUCUCCAGAGAGACAGAGAGAUAGGACUGCUCUCCCCCAGAGUUGUCUCUGCGACCCCCAGGUCGGGAACGACGACAGGACAAGGGACAGCGACCCCUCCCACCCACCUGCCCAGGCCGUCUUCUACCUGCUCACGGCCGGGCUGGUGCUGGUGGCCGUGGCCUAUGGCAUCGUAGGGCAUCUGCUCAAGGACCUGGUGCAAGGACUCAUCGGUGAGUCAGAGGGGAGGGGGGCAUCAGUCGGGGAGGGGGGCUGGGGGUCGGAAGCAUCAGCGUGGGAGGGGGAGGGCGAAGACACAGGGGGAGGAACCGGUCUGGGGGGAGAAGUGGG
rnacentral:lncRNA from 1 species